rnacentral:rRNA from 1 species
GAUGAACGCUGGCGGCGUGCCUAAUACAUGCAAGUCGAGCGAAUGGAUUAAGAGCUUGCUCUUAUGAAGUUAGCGGCGGACGGGUGAGUAACACGUGGGUAACCUGCCCUUAAGACUGGGAUAACUCCGGGAAACCGGGGCUAAUACCGGAUAACAUUUUGAACCGCAUGGUUCGAAAUUGAAAGGCGGCUUCGGCUGUCACUUAUGGAUGGACUCGCGUCGCAUUAGGUAGUUGGUGAGGUAACGGCCCACCAAGGCAACGAUGGGUAGCCGACCUGAGAGGGAGAUCGGGCACACUGGGACUGAGACACGGCCCAGACUCCUACGGGAGGCAGCAGUAGGGAAUCUUCAGCAAUGGACGAAAGUCUGACGGAGCAACGCCGCGUGAGUGAUGAAGGCUUUCGGGUCGUAAAACUCUGUUGUUAGGGAAGAACAAGUGCUAGUUGAAUAAGCUGGCACCUUGACGGUACCUAACCAGAAAGCCACGGCUAACUACGUGCCAGCAGCCGCGGUAA